rnacentral:tRNA from 1 species
CGGGUCGAAGCAUUAUAGAUGCGUCUUGCUUACGACAAGAAGAUCCUUUAUUUUAAGGCGACCUGU